rnacentral:rRNA from 1 species
ACGUAGGGUGCGAGCGUUAAUCGGAAUUACUGGGCGUAAAGCGUGCGCAGGCGGUUCGCCAAGACGGGUGUGAAAUCCCCGGGCUCAACCUGGGAAUUGCGUUCGAAACUGGCAGGCUAGAGUAUUGUAGAGGGGGGUAGAAUUCCAGGUGUAGCGGUGAAAUGCGUAGAGAUCUGGAGGAAUACCGAUGGCGAAGGCAGCCCCCUGGACAAAGACUGACGCUCAGGUGCGAAAGCGUGGGGAGCAAACAG